CUACGGGUGGCACCAGUGAGGAAUAUUGCACAAUGGGGGGAACCCUGAUGCAGCAACGCCGCGUGGAGGAUGACGCAUUUCGGUGUGUAAACUCCUUUUAUAUGUCAAGAAAAUGACGGUAGCAUAUGAAUAAGCACCGGCUAACUCCGUGCCAGCAGCCGCGGUAAUACGGAGGGUGCGAGCGUUACUCGGAAUCACUGGGCGUAAAGGGCGCGUAGGCGGGUUGGAAAGUCAGGUGUGAAAUCCUACAGCUUAACUGUAGAACUGCACUUGAAACUUCUAAUCUAGAGUAUGGGAGGGGGAGAUGGAAUUAGUGGUGUAGGGGUAAAAUCCGUAGAUAUCACUAGGAAUACCUAAAGCGAAGGCGAUCUCCUGGAACAUUACUGACGCUAAGGCGUGAAAGCGUGGGGAGCAAACAGGAUUAGAUACCCGAGUAGUC
rnacentral:rRNA from 1 species